rnacentral:rRNA from 1 species
UACGUAGGGAGCAAGCGUUGUCCGGAUUUAUUGGGCGUAAAGAGCUCGUAGGCGGUUCCGUAAGUCGCGUAUUCAAAUCUCUGGGCUCAACCCAGAAUCGCUUCCGAUACUGCGGUGACUGGAGUCCGGUAGGGGAGUGUGGAAUUCCUGGUGUAGCGGUGAAAUGCGCAGAUAUCAGGAGGAACACCAACAGCGAAGGCAGCACUCUGGGCCGGUACUGACGCUGAGGAGCGAAAGCAUGGGGAGCGAACAGG